rnacentral:rRNA from 1 species
AAACCAGCACCUCAAGUGGUCAGGAGGAUUAUUGGGCCUAAAGCAUCCGUAGCCUGUUCUAUAAGUUUCCGGUUAAAUCCACUAGCUCAACUAGUGGGCUGCCGAAAAUACUGUAGAACUAGGGAGUGGGAGAGGUAGACGGUAUUCGGUAGGAAGGGGUAAAAUCCUUUGAUCUAUUGAGGACCACCUGUGGCGAAGGCGGUCUACCAGAACACGUUCGACGGUGAGGGAUGAAAGCUGGCGGAGCAAACCGGAUUAGAAACCCCGGUAGUCC